UUGGAGCGUACCAUGAACUAUUUGUGUUGCAGGUUUACAACGCGACUGCCGCGGGACGUGCUGGCAUGAGAUGUUUCCCAGUGUCUGCUCGAGGUUUUUUUGGGUCAGUGCAGAGAUAGGAGGCUGUGUGGAGCAGCAGUCAGGCAGGACAGGAUGUUCUGAGGGCCGGAUGACUUUCAGAGUGUCUAUACAGCGUGAUAAAGCUUAUCUGUCCUACACCAGAGAGAGAGUGAGAGGCAGAUUGGCACGAGAUGCAGGCUAAUAGAAAUCAUUACCUGGCCCACCACACACAAUCUACAAGCCAUUACUACCAAUCUGUGUCUGAAGGACAGCGCGGGUCUGGGGAGCAGCCAGUCUAUCACUCAACCGCCGGCUCCAGACUAACAAGUUGUUAGCUGAUGUGUUAAGAAUCAUUGUGAUUGAUUGUUUUUGAAUCACUUCAUGUGUUAUGAACACAAGCUGCAUUUGUGUGUGUAUUUGUACUUGAUUUGCCCAGCUGGCUAUGUGUAAAUAAUUUAAUUUGUAUGUGUGUCUGCAUGGGUGAACCCUAUGAAAACAUGUAGGCUUACUGGUCAUAUUUCACCACAAAAAUCAGAGGAAUAAAAUAAGACUAAAUUUUGCA
ensembl:lncRNA